AGAGUUUGAUCAUGGCUCAGGAUGAACGCUGGCGGCAUGCCUAAUACAUGCAAGUCGAACGGAGCAUCUUCGGAUGCUCAGUGGCGAACGGGUGAGUAACACGUAGGGAACCUGCCCAUGUGCCCGGGAUAACUUCCGGAAACGGAUGCUAAAACCGGAUAGGUGAUCGUUCUGCAUGGAGCGAUCAUUAAAGGGGCCGCAAGGCCUUGAACAUGGAUGGUCCUGCGGUGCAUUAGCUAGUUGGUGAGGUAAUGGCCCACCAAGGCGACGAUGCAUAGCCGGCCUGAGAGGGUGAACGGCCACAUUGGGACUGAGACACGGCCCAAACUCCUACGGGAGGCAGCAGUAGGGAAUUUUCGUCAAUGGGGGGAACCCUGAACGAGCAAUGCCGCGUGAGCGAAGACGGUCUUCGGAUUGUAAAGCUCUGUUGCAAGAGAAAAACGACCGGGAUAGGAAAUGCUCCCGGAGUGAUGGUAUCUUGCCAGAAAGUCACGGCUAACUACGUGCCAGCAGCCGCGGUAAUACGUAGGUGGCGAGCGUUAUCCGGAAUGAUUGGGCGUAAAGGGUGCGUAGGUGGUCCGUUAAGUCUGAAGUCAAAGCUGGCAGCUCAACUGUCAUACGCUUUGGAAACUGGCGGACUCGAGUGCAGAAGAGGGCGAUGGAACUCCAUGUGUAGCGGUAAAAUGCGUAGAUAUAUGGAAGAACACCGGUGGCGAAGGCGGUCGCCUGGUCUGCUACUGACACUGAAGCACGAAAGCGUGGGGAGCAAAUAGGAUUAGAUACCCUGGUAGU
rnacentral:rRNA from 1 species